rnacentral:rRNA from 1 species
CUGCCUGUAAGACUGGGAUAACUCCGGGAAACCGGGGCUAAUACCGGAUGCUUGUUUGAACCGCAUGGUUCAAACAUAAAAGGUGGCUUCGGCUACCACUUACAGAUGGACCCGCGGCGCAUUAGCUAGUUGGUGAGGUAAUGGCUCACCAAGGCAACGAUGCGUAGCCGACCUGAGA